AACGAACGCUGGCGGCAGGCCUAACACAUGCAAGUUGAACGCCGUAGCAAUACGGAGUGGCAGACGGGUGAGUAACACGUGGGAACGUACCCUUCGGUUCGGAAUAACUCAGGGAAACUUGAGCUAAUACCGGAUACGUCCGAGAGGAGAAAGAUUUAUCGCCGAGGGAUCGGCCCGCGUCUGAUUAGCUUGUUGGUGAGGUAACGGCUCACCAAGGCGACGAUCAGUAGCUGGUCNGAGAGGAUGAUCAGCCACAUUGGGACUGAGACACGGCCCAAACUCCUACGGGAGGCAGCAGUGGGGAAUAUUGGACAAUGGGCGCAAGCCUGAUCCAGCCAUGCCGCGUGAGUGAUGAAGGCCCUAGGGUUGUAAAGCUCUUUUACCCGGGAAGAUAAUGACUGUACCGGGAGAAUAAGCCCCGGCUAACUUCGUGCCAGCA
rnacentral:rRNA from 1 species